CUGCCUCAAAUACCAAAGGCGUACAUUAGAGUCAAGGACGAGAACGUGACGAUUUUCAUGGUUAAAAAGUAUCUGGUUACAAAGCUCGGUCUCUCCAACGAAGCUGAGGUGGAGAUAGUUUGCAUGGGACAGAGAUUGUUGCAGACACAAACGUUGAAGCAAAUAAGGGAUUGUGUGUGGUUGCCGAGCUUCCUUGAAUCUGAGUCGUUCCACAAUUACUCACUUCAAAGUAAUUUUGUGAAUAAUCAUUUGAUGUCUUUAUUCUACGGAAGGAGAUGUGCUUUCAACUAAUAUA